AUUGAACGCUGGCGGCAUGCUUUACACAUGCAAGUCGAACGGCAGCGCGGGCUUCGGCCUGGCGGCGAGUGGCGAACGGGUGAGUAAUACAUCGGAACGUGCCCAGUAGUGGGGGAUAGCUCGGCGAAAGCCGGAUUAAUACCGCAUACGACCUGAGGGUGAAAGCGGGGGAUCUUCGGACCUCGCGCUAUUGGAGCGGCCGAUGGCAGAUUAGCUAGUUGGUGGGGUAAAGGCCUACCAAGGCGACGAUCUGUAGCUGGUCUGAGAGGACGACCAGCCAAAAAGGGAAUGGAGAAACGGCCAAGAUCCUAAGGGAAGGAAGAAGUGGGAAAUUUGGGAAAAUGGCGAAAGCCUGAUCCAGCAAUGCCGCGUGUGUGAUGAAGGCCUUCGGGUUGUAAAGCACUUUUGGCGGGAACGAAAAGGACUGUGCCAAUACCACGGUUCGAUGACGGUACCCGCAGAAUAAGCACCGGCUAACUACGUG
rnacentral:rRNA from 1 species